ACUCGAUCAGUUCUCUCCGAGAAAGGCAUUUUCCAGCGCUUUGGAAAGCGGUCAUGAAAGAAUUGGAGGCGUUUUUCUGUCGGCGCAUAUUAAAAUGAAAUUUUGUUUGUUACCUUUAAGAGCAAAUUGCACUACCUGAUUUGACUAAUAUGCAAGUGCGGUCAGAUGCUCUGAGACAGCCAAGUUCAACGUACGCACCGUUCAGCUCUCUGCAGACUGCAGGAUGGCUUUGGGCAAUGGCAAGAGUGUAAUUUUUUGAGAACGAACCCUUUGACGCCGGAGCUUGAAAGUUUAGCAUCUUAUCCCAUAUGUGCCCUAACGCUAAGACUGGCUGGCUGGCACGACCAUGAAUACUUUUGUGGAUACCGAAAAGUCUCAUCUGAUCAGUGAGAAGAAAGCAAGAACCUACACCUUAAAACUGAAAAGCCCAUUUGCAGAAUCCAAAGAAGUAUACCAAAACUUCCCAUUUGAGAAUGGUAGUACGGCCACAGUCAUUGAGCUGGAACGAUGUGCAAACCUGCACUGCCAUGGGAGGUCAACAUCAUCAAUUGAAUGCAGAGAGAAACUGGUGGCAAGGAAAAAACUCUACAUUGCAUCCUUAGUGUGUUUAGUUUUCAUGAUUGGAGAGAUUGUAGGAGGUUAUUUAGCUCACAGUCUGGCAAUCAUGACUGAUGCGGCCCAUUUACUCACAGACUUUGGAAGUAUGAUGGUCAGUUUAUUCUCUUUAUGGAUUUCUUCAAGACCCCCAACCAAAAUCAUGAACUUUGGCUGGCACAGGGCAGAGAUUUUGGGAGCACUUGUGUCAGCUUUAUCGAUAUGGAUUGUGACGGCAGUCCUUGUGUAUCUGGCCAUUAUAAGGAUUGUAAACAACGACUACGAGAUCGAGGGACACGUGAUGCUUAUCACCUCUGGCUGUGCAGUCGGGGUCAAUGUUAUAAUGGCUUACAUUCUUCACCAGUCCACCACACUCCAUGGUCAUAGCCAUAGCUCUGGCUAUCACAAGAUCGAUGAAUCCGGUGAAAGCCCAGACAGUCAAGGACAUGCACAUGCUCACUUAGGUCACCAUGGAAACACCAGCGUCAGAGCGGCCUUCAUCCAUGUCAUUGGUGACCUGCUUCAGAGCGUUGGAGUACUGGUGGCUGCUGUUAUUAUAUAUUUUAGGCCUGAAUACAAAGUAGCAGAUCCAAUCUGUACCUUCCUGUUCUCUGUCUUUGUCCUGGGAACCACCUUUACCAUUCUGCGAGAUGUCUUCAGAAUACUAAUGGAAGGAGCCCCAAAGGCAAUAGAAUUUAAAUCCGUCAAGGAGGUUUUGUUGUCUUUAAAAGGUGUGAAGGCCGUUCACAGUCUGCAUUUGUGGGCUCUGACUCUAAGCCACACUAUGUUAUCUGUGCACAUUGCUAUUGAGGAGCAUGCUGAUGCAGAAACAGUGCUUAAGGAGGCUACCGAGCUUCUGAGGUCUAAAUUUGGCUUCCACAGCACUACCAUACAAGUAGAAAAGUAUUCAGAUGACAUGGCCGACUGCACACAAUGUCAAGACCCAAAGGAUUGAAGCACCAAACUGUCUGCAAGGGGUAGGGUGCAAUCGAGAGAGCUUAUGGGUACAUAAAUCCUACAGGUCCAAAGUCAAAGCAUUCUGAAACUUUGUAACCAGAGACAGAAGAGUGAGAAAACUGUGAGGAUAAAUUCAAACCUUUGAUACAAUUUGGUCUUUAUAAGCUAAUUUGUAUUUUCGUAAGCAACCAAAACAUAUCAUUCUCUCUAAGAUGGAAGUACAUUUUCAUUUUCAAAAUGCUUCCCUGCUGGCAUAGGCUUGAAAUUCCUUUUGUCUUGUAGUGGAAAAAAGAACCAGAAAUUAAACAUUUUAUACAUUUAAAAUGUUAAAUACUUUGAUGGAGUUUUCAUUCAAAUGUGAUUAGCUUCAUGGAGUAAAUGUCAAGAGAUAAGACAUAUAUUGUGGGGUAGUGGCAGUUUAUGAUUUAGAAUUAAUAUUCCAUUUAUUAAUCAAGUUUGGGAUCUAUGAAUAAAUAACAUUUAAAAUGAUAAAUAAUAACUAAAAGUGGAAUGUGUAUUACUCCCUUUGAAAAAGAAAGAAAUGAAAGGCUGCUGUUAAUUUGUGAGUGAUUUAAAAUUUGAUUAUAAACUCCUCCACCAUAAAUGACCUAACCCAGUUAUUAUGCCCACCACAGGGAGGUACAAAACACUCUUUUGCAUCAGGUAUCAUGUCUUAUGAGGCAGAACGAGCAGCCCAUAAUAUUUUCCGGAGAGAUUCAGUCUUAAUACUGGUCUUUGUCCCUGGAGAGCCCUGUUCUAUGAUGGAUGCUGCAGAAUAGCUUAGAAAUGGAAAAAUAUAAUAUAGUUUAAUUAUGUUCAUAAAAUAAGAAAAGUGGGAAAAACAAACACAUUUUAUUACAACUUUGAUUUACAAACACAUCCAGCAGGUUUAGAUAUUAAUUUAAACUGCAGUGCUGUUUGUGGACAGUAUAGCUGUGAAUACUAAUAAAUGUAUUCAAUAACCUUAUCGCCCCCUAACAGAGGGAGUAGCAAGCAAGGCGAGAACAGCACAAACAUCACAACGAAAUACAAAUGUGGUCACAAAGGUGUCUGGUCCAGUUGCCAACUUUGUAAUGGUCACUUUUGGAUUUAAAGUGGCAUCGAACUAAGGGCACACACAGCUGCACAAUUGUUUUGUCCCUUCAUUUUCAGAAGCCUCCCUGAGUCGCUUUAUUUACCAUUUCUGUAUCUAACAUACAUAUCGUAAUUGCCACUGUCAACACGUGAACUACAAUAAAUAGGAUGAAAGACGUCAGGCCAGUUUGUUGCUGGAGAUGUCUAAUGCUUGUUAAAAAUGUUAGCAGAAAACAAAUAAUCUUUCUUAAAAAUGAACUAAAAAUGGAUUUUUCUCAAUAAAGGAUUAAAUAAUAUACAGUGGAACCUCGGUUUGCGAGUAACUUGGUUUACGAGUGUUUUGCAAGAUGAGCUAAAAUUUUUAAUAAAUUUUGACUUGAUAAAUGAGCGAGGUCUUGCAAUAUGAGUAGUAUGUAUACGCUUUGUCUGCUGAGUGUCAUGUGAUCACAACUGAGCUGAUGGUUCUUCUCUCUCUCUCG